AUGACGUCAAGUCAUCAUGCCCCUUAUGUCUUGGGCUGCACACGUGCUACAAUGGCCGGUACAAUGGGCUGCGAUGGGGUGACCCGGAGCGAAUCCCACAAAACCGGCCCCAGUUCGGAUCGAAGGCUGCAACUCGCCUUCGUGAAGUCGGGGUUGCUAGUAAUCGCGGAUCAGCAUGCCGCGGUGAAUACGUUCCCGGGCCUU
rnacentral:rRNA from 1 species